ACCUAAUAGAUACCCAGGUAGUCCACGCCCUAAACGAUGCGAACUGGAUGUUGGGUACAUUACGGUGCUCAGUGUCGAAAGCUAACGCGUUAAGUUCGCCGCCUGGGGAGUACGGUCGCAAGACUGAAACUCAAAGGAAUUGACGGGGGCCGGCACAAGCGGUGGAGUAUGUGGUUUAAAUUACGAUGCAACGACGAAGAACCUUACCUGGCCGUUGACAUCUGUCGAAUCCUGCAGAGAUGCGGGAGUGCCGCAAGGAACGGACAAGACAGGUGCUGCAUGGCUGUCGUCAGCUCGUGUCGUGAGAUGUUGGGUUUAAGUCCCGCAACGAGCGCAACCCUUGUCCCUAGUUGCCAGCACAUCAUGGUGGGAACUCUA
rnacentral:rRNA from 1 species